UGGGGAAUUUUGGACAAUGGGCGCAAGCCUGAUCCAGCCAUGCCGCGUGUGUGAAGAAGGCCUUCGGGUUGUAAAGCACUUUCGGACGGAACGAAAUCGCGCGAGUUAAUAGCUCGCGUGGAUGACGGUACCGUAAGAAGAAGCACCGGCUAACUACGUGCCAGCAGCCGCGGUAAUACGUAGGGUGCGAGCGUUAAUCGGAAUUACUGGGCGUAAAGGGUGCGCAGGCGGCCCCGCAAGUCAGGCGUGAAAUCCCCGAGCUCAACUUGGGAAUGGCGCUUGAAACUACGGGGCUGGAGUGUGGCAGAGGGAGGUGGAAUUCCACGUGUAGCGGUGAAAUGCGUAGAUAUGUGGAGGAACACCGAUGGCGAAGGCAGCCUCCUGGGCCAACACUGACGCUCAUGCACGAAAGCGUGGGGAGCAAACAGGAUUAGAUACCCUGGUAGUCCACACUGUAAACGAUGAUUACUCGAUGUUGGCGAUACACAGUCAGCGUCUUAGCGAAAGCGAUAAGUUCUCCGCCUGGGGAGUACGCCGGCAACGGUA
rnacentral:rRNA from 1 species